UUUAAUUCUUGUCCGAGAGUUUUUGCCUUGGUUUUAUUGCGACAAUGAAGCAAAUUGCUUCUAUGGUUGCAGGUUUCGUUUUGUCAGAGUAGUUGGUAUAUAAUCAUUUCUAUUUUAGAAAAAAAGAAAAGAAAAGCAAAUAUAUUAGGGGAUUCUCAUGAUUGAAUUUCUACAUUUUCAGGAAUGGCGUUCGUAUCUUGCAUGGUAGAAGACAAGAAUGCAAAUGGGCCAUCUUAUGUGGAGUUUCUUGUACAUAUUCAUCGGCAAAUCCAAAUGAAAAUGUCUUGAUAAGUUUCAAGCUUCCUCAACAACAGUUGGCUUCACAAGUAGUGAUGGCACUUGGAGAUCAAAAGCUGCACACAAACAUUGUAAUUUCAUAUCUUAUAUCAGUUAUUUAUUUCCUGGAACCCCAAUUUUGAGCUAAACAAAGGUUCUUAAUUGUACCCAACUUUGGCGGUGAGGUACUUGAAUUACUAAUAAUGCAAUUAUUUUCGGCUUUUUGUUA